rnacentral:rRNA from 1 species
UAGGGAAUCUUCGGCAAUGGACGAAAGUCUGACCGAGCAACGCCGCGUGAGUGAAGAAGGAUCUCGGAUCGUAAAACUCUGUUGUUAGAGAAGAACAAGGACGUUAGUAACUGAACGUCCCCUGACGGUAUCUAACCAGAAAGCCACGGCUAACUACGUGCCAGCAGCCGCGGUAAUACGUAGGUGGCAAGCGUUGUCCGGAUUUAUUGGGCGUAAAGCGAGCGCAGGCGGUUUCUUAAGUCUGAUGUGAAAGCCCCCGGCUCAACCGGGGAGGGUCAUUGGAAACUGGGAGACUUGAGUGCAGAAGAGGAGAGUGGAAUUCCAUGUGUAGCGGUGAAAUGCGUAGAUAUAUGGAGGAACACCAGUGGCGAAGGCGGCUCUCUGGUCUGUAACUGACGCUGAGGCUCGAAAGCGUGGGGAGCAAACAGG